rnacentral:rRNA from 1 species
UACGUAGGGGGCUAGCGUUGUCCGGAAUCAUUGGGCGUAAAGAGCGUGUAGGCGGUCCGGUAAGUCCGCUGUGAAAGUCGGGGGCUCAACCCUCGAAUGCCGGUGGAUACUGCCGGGCUAGAGUCCGGAAGAGGCGAGUGGAAUUCCUGGUGUAGCGGUGGAAUGCGCAGAUAUCAGGAGGAACACCGGUGGCGAAGGCGGUUCUCUGGGCCUUACCUGACGCUGAGGAGCGAAAGCAUGGGGAGCAAACAGG